UUGCUUCGGCAGCACAUAUACUAAAACUGGAACGAUAGAGAAGAUUAGCAUGGCCCCUGAGUAAGGAUGAAACACAAAUUUGUGAAGUGUUCUGUAUUAAA
rnacentral:snRNA from 1 species